CUAUCACUCUUGGAUGGACCUGCGGUGCAUUAGCUAGUUGGGUAGGGGUAACGGGGCCUCCAAGGCGAUGAUGCAUAGCCGAGUUGAGAGACUGAUCGGGCCACAUUGGGACUGAGACACGGCCCAAACUCCUACGGGAGGCAGCAGUAGGGGAAUCUUCCACAAUGGACGCAAAGUCUGAUGGAGCAACGCCGCGUGAGUGAAGAAGGGUUUCGGCUCGUAAAAGCUCUGUUGUUGGUGAAGAAGGACAGGGGUAGUAACUGACCUUUGUUUGACGGUAAUCAAUUAGAAAGUCACGGGCUAACUACGUGCCAGCGCCGCGGUAAAU
rnacentral:rRNA from 1 species